UACGGGAGGGACAAGCGUUAUUCAUCAUGAUUGGGCGUAAAGGGUACGUAGGCGGCAAAAUCUUGUUACUAGUAAAAAAACAAAGGUAUACUUUGUUAAUAGGUAACAACAAACAAGCUUAGAGAUUACAAAGGUUAUGAAUGGCACAAUUGUUAAUGUAACGGUAAAAUAUGUUGAUAUUAGCACGAAUACCAGACGCGCAGGCGGCCUUCUUUUGAAAUCUAACGCUGAGGUACGAAAGCAUGGGGAAUCAAACAGG
rnacentral:rRNA from 1 species